rnacentral:tRNA from 1 species
GGAGAGGUGGCUGAGUGGUCGAAAGCACCGGACUCGAAAUCCGGCAUAGCCGCAAGGUUAUCGAGAGUUCGAAUCUCUCCCUCUCCGCCA